GAUGAAGAACGUAGCGAAAUGCGAUACGUAAUGUGAAUUGCAGAAUUCAGUGAAUCAUCGAGUCUUUGAACGCACAUUGCGCCCCCUGGUAUUCCGGGGGGCAUGCCUGUCCGAGCGUCAUUGCUGCCCUCAAGCACGGCUUGUGUGUUGGGCCCCGUCCUCCGAUCCCGGGGGACGGGCCCGAAAGGCAGCGGCGGCACCGCGUCCGGUCCUCGAGCGUAUGGGGCUUUGUCACCCGCUCUGUAGGCCCGGCCGGCGCUUGCCGAUCAACCCAAAUUUUUAUCCAGGUUGACCUCGGAUCAGGUAUGGAUACCCGCUGAACUUAAGCAUAUCAAUAAGCGGAGGA
rnacentral:misc_RNA from 1 species